rnacentral:rRNA from 1 species
UACGAAGGGGGCUAGCGUUGUUCGGAUUUACUGGGCGUAAAGCGCGUGUAGGCGGGCUUGCAAGUUGGGGGUGAAAUCCCGAGGCUCAACCUCGGAACUGCCUCCAAAACUGCAAGCCUGGAGCAAGAUAGAGGCAAGUGGAAUUGCGAGUGUAGAGGUGAAAUUCGUAGAUAUUCGCAGGAACACCAGUGGCGAAGGCGACUUGCUGGAUCUUUGCUGACGCUGAGACGCGAAAGCGUGGGGAGCAAACAGG